ensembl:lncRNA
GGCUAAGCUAGUGGGGGCAAAGUUUCAGUGCAUUCCGUUGAUGUAGACGGCGUGAAAACGGAAACAACAAGUAUGCCGUCUCACUGUGCUGCAUACAAUUACACACUGCGUCGUACGAUUGAGAUAAGGAAACUUGGAAUGACUUUUCACAGGUUUCCCAGAGACUAUGGGUUUAGGAGGAAUUGGAAGUUUGUCGGCUUAGACCUGGUGUCAUUCCAUCAGUGUUAAACUUCCCGGCUCAUCUUGGAAGAGUACGUGCCAGAAAGACCACGACCAAGCAGCCUUGAGAUCUUAGGCAGCAUCUCCCUGAGGUCCCUCUCUAUCUCCCCACACAUCCACCAACCACUGGAACACAUCUCCAAAGUUCUGCCGGGCCAGCUCAGCUUCCCCUCAGAAGAAGUACCACCACCUGCCAGAUGAAGGAGCCUUUUGAGAGGCAGCUGGCAUCGUGAUUGGACUGUAUUUUGGUCUGUUCCAAUCCAGCUUCAGCUCCAGAGACGGCAGGCGGGACGAGUCAACGGAGGCCGGGUGGACAAAGACCAAAGAACUACAGACUCUUCACAACCUGCUCAAACUCUUGGUACAGGACCUCACCACACGGGUCAAGAAGGUU